rnacentral:rRNA from 1 species
GAUGAACGCUGGCGGCGUGCCUAAUACAUGCAAGUCGAGCGAAGCGGGGACGGGUGAGUAACACGUGGAUAACCUCCUAUAAGACUGGGAUAACUUCGGGAAACCGGAGCUAAAGGGGUUACUUAUAUAUGGAUACGCGCUGCAUUAUCUAGUUGGUAAGGUAACGGCUUACCAAGGCAACGAGGCAUAGCCGACCUGAGAGGGUGAUCGGCCACACUGGAACUGAGACACGGUCCAGACUCCUACGGGAGGCAGCAGUAGGGAAUCUUCCGCAAUGGGCGAAAGCCUGACGGAGCAACGCCGCGUGAGUGAAGAAGGUCUUCGGAUCGGAAAACUCUGUUAUUAGAGAAGCGGUAUCUAAUCAGAAAGCCACGGCUAACUACGUGCCAGCCGCCGCGGUAAUC